CUGCUAUCCGACCUGCUUUCCGAGGUACGUAUUUUCCACUUUCUACUUCAUUGGUCGUUUCUUUGUUUUCGUGCCUUCUAUUGUCCUAUUGCUCGGGUCGUUGAGAUGCCUGACUUGACCUCCUCUGACCUCCCGGGCACUUGUGGAUUGCGGAGAACGUCUCCAGCUUUCCUCAGACUACCGACGGUCAUCCUGGAGCCUGCGCGCACGCACGGGAUCCGGGCGGUCCGUUGAUAGUUACCAUCUUCAGCUCCGAAAC